GAUUUUUUAUAACUGUAAUGGCUCUCAAAAAGAGGAUCUCUGGUUACUUUUUCCCCUAUGCUAUCAGGCAGACAGCAGAGACUGAGCAAAGUGGUAAGGGGCUGAACCUAAGGCAGUGGGCUGUGACCCACGCCAAGCAAUAGCUCAUCUACCCAUCUCCAUAAGCCACUGAGGUCUGGGACUUCUUACAGAAGGAUUUAAAAGCACAUCAGCAGAUGGGACAACUGUUGUUUUCAAAGCAGAAAAUGAAGGGCUUUGCUUUUUCCCCCACUGAUGGGUGAAUCACAAACCUCCCAACUCCCAGCCUCAUCCCAGUUCAUGCAGAGCACAGAAUAAAGCUUUCAGCCUCUGCUCUUUGCACAUGGCAGGCUGUGGUGACAGCUGGGAAACCUUCAUUCCAAAGCAAAUGUGUUUUCCAAAGAAAAGCAUUAAUCUAUCAGGAGGAAAUCAGUUGUCUUGUGAGUUAAGUGUGGUUUUUGCACUGUGUCCUCCAUGGAGGUUACUGGCUGAUUCCUCUUUGUCUGCAAAAACAGUGCUUUAAAUUAUUUAGAGGAAACUAUACAAUCUUGGCUGCUGCGCGCUAUUACGAUUGCACAACUUGUCCCAGUGAAAACCACGUGCAGACAGGCUGUAAAGUCAUGGCUGUUUUGUAGUAGGAAGACAAACUGAAGCUGUUAAACCAGGAUGUAAAAUAAGGAGCAACAGAAACACACAUCCUGCUGAAGAGCCUCUGAGCUGCGUGUUUGCCUGGGAACUUCUGUCUGACCGCUGUACAAUCAAGGGUUCAGGUCAAAUUCAGAUGCAAUUACGGCACUGGGACUUCUCAUAGUCGUUGCGCCGAAGCCGCGUGCUGAGGAUGCCCGCCCACAGCAGCCACGUUAGCAGCAGUGAGGAGGUUUCUGCAGAUGGGAUCUUUUGGUGGGAAUUGCAGCCGUAGGAGGCCUGCGGUGUCUGGGCAGCAGCUUUGAGCUUUGCUGAAGGGCAGUGGAGUUGGUUCACUUUGGGGAGGUUCAGAGUUAGCCUAUCCAGCAUGAGGGGAUUGCAGCUCCUGCUUGCGUAGAAGUCGAAUCUUUGCUGUGUUGUUCCUCCACAAGAAAACGUUAAGAAAAAGGUUGAAAAUUAUGAGUGUCUGUCCAUCUUCCCCACCAUUUUAUUUCAGCAUAAAGAGCAAAUAACUGUGUGCUGUGAUUGCAGCUACUGCCGAAUUACGUGGUGAUUCAUGGCGUGCAGAUUACAGGGCAAGGGUUAUAGCUGGGAUUGCUGUGGUUUCUCCAGAUCCCUGAGUAUCAUGCACUCAUAAGCACUGGGUUUUUCUGCUUGUGUGACAAUGUUUAGCUUGAGCUGCAGGCCCAAUUAAGUGGGAAGAUGGCGAAAUGCAUCUUAACUGCUGUGGCACUGCAAGUGUGAAAUCUCCUUGAAAAUAAAGUGACAGCUGAAUGAGCUUCUCCCAUUGUCUUCUGGAUGUUCUGAGAGCUGGCAGCAGCCAUAGGGGCCUAUGGCAGUGCAGAAAGCCACAUCCAGCUGCUGGCGAGGAGAUCGCUGGUACUUGGGUGGUGGUGGAGAGGAAGGCUGACACUGGUGGGAGUGGGAGGAUGAGGAAGUGGUUCGCUUUGGCUCACUGUGGGGUCUCAAAUCAGUGAGUUACUUUCUUAUUAAAGCCAGAAAAGCUACAGUUCUUCAAACCCUGUUCUUGCUCAUGGUGAAAUCUCCCCCCUUGCAGACACCGUCGCUGCGUGUGCCUCUAACAGCAUCGUUUUAGCAUGCAGGAUCAUGUGGGUGUGCAUGGAUCCUGCCUGGGGGUGCACUGCCGGAGUGGAUUUCUAAUUAUAGCUAAUUGCAGGGUUGGUGCUCCCUGGAUUUGGCCUGAUAGAAGUCAAACGAUUUCCUGUUGCUCAGCACUUUGCAGAUGUGCACUCAGAGGCGCUGUGAUGGAUGUGCUUUCUAUCCAGCUUGGUGCAUGCACGCUCUUCACUCUCCUUC